UCCUCCCUCCAAAACCCUGCUUUACCGCGGGCGUUUCGGGUGUUGGACCGCGUUGGACCGCUCGCGGCCAACUGGUCUCAAAGACAAUGACGGGCGUCCAUGGGACCCUCUUCGCACUGAGCUUUCCGGAGCACGCGUAGAGUUUCAAGGGCCCAGGGACCCGGUCACCUCCAAAAACAAAAUUUUUCA
rnacentral:misc_RNA from 1 species